UACGUGUCCAUUGCCUUGGUGGGAGUAGGAGCUCUCGAAGAACAGAUACUACUUUGUAUUAGAGUUCUUUACCCAAAAAAGGAGCUGACUCUAUAAUUUAAACCAAAGGGAAUUUAUUGGAAGGGUCGGAGUUAGCUCACAGACUCAACGGACAGCUGAAGAGUGGAGGCCGAGCCAGAGCUGAAUGUGUGGACGUCAGAAGAGCUUCGUGGAUUCAGUUGUCAACAGCCAACUCUCACUAGUUCAAGCAUAAAAGGAACGGCUCAAAGGAUAUCCAGUAGCAGGAAAGGCGAGAGAGAAAUGGCUUGAAGUCUUACACAGCCCGGACAAGAAGCAACAGCCCAGCCAGGCAGCAGGACCGCUCCAGCAAAGACCCCGUGCCCCACUGUUGCACGCACACUUAAGCUCCCACCAGUGGCCCUGACCUGGAGUCUGUCGUCCCGGCCUUCUAAAACCAGAUGCUUCUACUGCUACCUGCCCCGCCUGGAGAAACAUCUCUACGCAGCACUAGCUUCCUUACGUUGCUCACACCCAAGUCAAGGUCUCAUGCAGGACCCAGAACUCAUCUGGUUCCUGCCUCUCCUCCAAGCUGAUCCGUCUGGGCUCCGUCGGAGGGCCCAUUGCCUCUGGAGUCCAGGUGGGCUGUGUCCCUGAACAGAAAGAAACUGCUUGGUUCCUGGGGCCUCUUCUACUCAACGCUUCCCUAGUUCCAGAACCGCUCCCUCUGCUGACUCUUCAGGUCCCUUGUAAGGACUUAGCUGAAUUCUCUACACUGGGCAGGAAUAUCAUCCCCCUUACUCCUGAAGUUCCCUCUUGGUACGUUUCCGUCCACGGACCCUCACCCUGUUCGGAGCCAUGACCAGGCGCCCUGGCUACAUGCCCCGCACUGGGCUUUCUUCCAGUCUGUUGCUUCUCUUCUGGCUCCUGCCUGUCCCCCAAGCCUGGUUCCCUUGACUUCCGUGUUUGGCAAAGACCUGCCAAUAGUUCUCCGAUGAAUUCCCUGUGGCUUAGGUUGACCUGUCAGUUUCUGUGCCUACAACCAUGAAGUCUAACUGAUGUGGUGCUGUUCCCAGAAAAGUGCAUGCUGGGUAGGCAAAUACACCAGCCAUCCGUACCUUAGCCAUUUGUGUAUCCUCCAGUGCCUGCUGCCUGCUAGACACCUAAGUAAAGGGUGUUAAAUAAACCCAUUUCUGCCACAGCCAGCGCUGGAGCCCCACAGUGUCCUUCCCAACCCCCCCACACCUCCCAGCACGGAAGAAACUAUGGCCUUUGCUGAAU